CAAGACCAAAGUAAUGUAAUCAAUUACAUUUUAAAAGUUAGUUAAGGGAGUCACUAAAUAAAAAGGUGUAAAAGAAGGAGGAGGGGGAGUAAAAAAUGUAUUGUAAUAAUACAUUGGAACUUAAGUAACCAUCAACUUACCAUUGAUUGCUAUGUGUGUAGGAUAUCCUCUAAGAACCCCAUUGUAACCACAAGCCAGAAACCUAUAAUGGAUACACAGAAAAUGGAAAAACAAAUUUAAAUGUAACACUUAAGAAAGUCGCAAUACACAAGGGGAGAGCAAGAGAAAAAGAGGGUAAGAGAGGAACAAGACAACCGUGAAACAUUUGACAAAAUGGCAAUAACUACAUACCUAUCAAUAAGUACUCUAAAUGUAAAUGACUAAAUGCCCCAAUCAAAAUACAUAGGGUGACCGAGUGGAUAAAAAACAAGACCCAUCUGUUUGCUGCCAAAAGAGAUUAACUUUAAAUCUAAAUACUGAAACUGAAGGGAUGGAAAAAGAUAUUCCAUGAAAAUAGGAAAAAGAAAAAAGCUGCAGUAGCUAUACUUCUGUCAGACAAGAUAGACUUUAAAACAAGGGCUGCAACAAGAGACAAAGAAGCUACAUGACAUAGUGAUUAAGGGCACAAUCCAGCAGGAAGCUGUAACAAUUAUAACUAUUUAUGCACCCAACAGUGGAGCUCCUGAGUAUAUGAAGCAAAUAUUAACAGACAUAAAAGGAGAGAUUGACAGUAAAAUAAUAAUAGUAUAGGACUUUAAUGCCCCACUUACAUAAUGUGGAUAGGUCAUUCAGACAGAAAACCAAUAACUAAACAGUGGAUUUGAGUGACAGAUGACAUGCAACUGUAUUCAAAUAUAUUAAGAAUGUUACAUACAAAAACAGUAGAAUAUACAUUCUUUUCAAGAGCACAUGGACAAAAAUGUACAAUUAAAAAAAAACAGAAACAGACUCGUAAACAAAGAGAAUGGACAUUCGGUUACCGUAGGAGUAAGGGGAUGGCUGAAACAGGCGGAGGGGAUAAAGCGGUACAAACCUCAAACCAUAGAAUAAUUCAGUCAUAGGCUUGGAAGUACAGCAUAGGGAAUAAAGUUCCUAAUAUUGUAAAAUUUUUAUGUGGUGACCAAUGGUAACUACACUUAUCAUGGUGAGCAUUUAAUAAUGUAUAUAAUUGAUAAAUAACUAAGUCAUUUAUCUGAAACCAAUAUAAUAUAAUAUUAUAUAUAAGCUGUAUGUCAAUAAAAAAUGUUUGAAAAAGAAGAAUUUAGCAAGCUCAAGAAACAGAAAGGAUUGCCGUAGAGGAAGUGGGGACAGGGAUGAGGGUGAAACAGGUGAAGGGGAUAAAGAGGUACAAACUGCUGGUUAUAGAAAUUAAAUAAAUCAUGGGGAGAGUCAGUAUGGUCAUACCUUUGUGUGGUGACAGAUGGUAACUACACCUAUCACGGUGAGCAUUUUAUAGUGCAUAUAAUUGUUGAAUCGUUGCAUUGUAUACCUGAAACUAACAUAUAUUUAUUGUAUGUCAACUGUAUUUCAAUAAAAAAAGAGAAACAAAGGAGGUCAUUGUGUCUCAAGAUUAUUGCAUGGGAAUUUCAGGAAAUGAGUUUGGAAAGAUCAUAUAAGUCUUUUUAGGCCAAGAGAAGAACUUUGAAUUUUAUUCUUUGUGUGAUCAGAGGCCACUGGAGGUUUUUGAGCAUAGCCAUGACUGUAACUAGAAUACCAGCAAUCUGAAUCAUUACGGAUACCUUCUUUUCCCAAAGGCAAAUAGAAGCAAAGGAAAAAAAUAAGCAUCCCGGCAACAGAUCAAAUGGGACUGAAGCAACUCAGGAAAGGAUAUAUGUGAUGAGUUUAGAAGCCAAAUGAAAAAUGGUCGACUUAUCUGCACCCGAGAAAGUGACUCUGUCCAUGGUCCAGACUGCAGGACAUGUGGCAAUAAGUGCACUAUGUGUAAGGAACAGCUGGAAAGAGAAGCAGCCGAAAGAAAAAAGAAAGACAAGGAGAACACGGGAAGCACAGGAGAGAAGAACAACGAAAAGCAGGUUUUGACGGGAUCAGUGCCAUGAAUUCCGGGACAUGGUGAGAAACUGAAAGCUGGUGUGCACUGCAGACUAUGAUCCUGUUCGAGGUCCAUAUGACAAGAUGCACCCCAACAAGUGUGCCACGUGUCAGAGCAUGUUGUACUUUGAGCGAGAAGUUAACAAAAGAAAAAAGAAUGAAGAAACAUCAAGUGCCAAGCCCUCAAAGUAUGCAAAGGUUAUUUCUUAGAAGCUACGAAGAUAACUGUUUUACUGCUCAUCCUCAGAAUCUUGAAUGCUACUCCAGUUUUAGGAUAAUAAAGAUGCCAGUCUUUUGCUUCAAAGAAAAUUCAUUUUGCCAAUAUUGUCACUUUGGGAUACAAUAAGAUUUUUUUUUUCUGGAUUUGACUCUAAUUGUGUUUCUCAGUUUUGUAGAGAAUUCUCCUCCUGUGUGUGUCAAUCAUCGUUUUAGUCUCUCCUCGGAAGCAAUGUGAGUUGACAAAUAGUAAAAUUCUUUACCAGCGCAAGUGCAUGCUUGCUUAUCUCUGACACUAUACGUGGAGUGAGGCUUCAGGUGGCUUGGUGACGUUGAUUUUAAUGAUUCAGGUAAUAAAUUAAACCAAAGCAUGCACUGUAGCUUCUUUCCUUGAUGUCUUUUUCUGUUUUCUACAGAUGGUUUUCUCAGUGUCAGUGAAUCGAUAGUGUGUGUGCAUGAUGCUGCCUUUCCUGUCUGCUUUUCAAGACUGCAAAGAACAUGUCUGUAUUCAGUCCUUAAUAAUGAUUAUCACAUUUAUAGAGUUAGGUUCUUGUGGAUUGCCCUUUGGUCAAGAGUGCACCCCACAUGGAGAACGAGGGAAAUGAAGGAUGGGAGGGAGCGGCGAGGGAGAUGAGGAGCUCUGUGACGUGCUGUUUGGUGUUUCCUUGCAUUUCUAGGACCUGUGCAGAAAGGUUCAGGGUGAGGCGGAGGGUGGAACCUCGAAGAUCUCUUCACCAACUUUCAUGUAUAUCAUACAGUAUUAUUAGCUAUAAUCACCAGGCUGUAUAUUAGGUCCCCAGAACUUAUUAAUCUUGUAACUGAAAGUUUGUAUCCUUUGAUCAGUGCCUCCCCAUUUUCCCCAUUUUGUU